GACGAACGCUGGCGGCGUGCUUAACACAUGCAAGUCGAACGGAAAGGCCCUGCUUUUGUGGGGUGCUCGAGAGGCGAACGGGUGAGUAACACGUGAGUAACCUGCCCUUGACUUUGGGAUAACUUCAGGAAACUGGGGCUAAUACCGGAUAGGAGCUCCUGCUGCAUGGUGGGGGUUGGAAAGUUUCGGCGGUUGGGGAUGGACUCGCGGCUUAUCAGCUUGUUGGUGGGGUAGUGGCUUACCAAGGCUUUGACGGGUAGCCGGCCUGAGAGGGUGACCGGCCACAUUGGGACUGAGAUACGGCCCAGACUCCUACGGGAGGCAGCAGUGGGGAAUAUUGCACAAUGGGCGGAAGCCUGAUGCAGCAACGCCGCGUGCGGGAUGACGGCCUUCGGGUUGUAAACCGCUUUCGCCUGUGACGAAGCGUGAGUGACGGUAAUGGGUAAAGAAGCACCGGCUAACUAUGUG
rnacentral:rRNA from 1 species